UCACCAACCCACCCCCAUGUCUGUGCGCUUUCUCUCUCUCUCUAAAAAUCUGGUCACUAUAUUAUUUCUCCGGCGAGGGAUUCCGUCCAACCGGCAUCAACGGAGGUGAAUCACCGGCGGCACGUGCAGGUGGAACAACCACACGUGAUGUUAUCAGGGGGAAAAGAGGAUUUGGGUGCACUAGCAAUGUUGGAAGAUAGUGUGAAAAAACUCAAAACCCCUAAAUCAUUACCUUAUCAAACUUUAACAAAGUCACAAAUUGAUUCAUCAGUUGAGUUAUUGGCAGAUUGGGUGUAUGAACACUGUGGAUCUAUCCCAUUUUCAAGUUUAGAAGACCAAAAGUUUAAUAGUUUCUUGAAUAAAAUCGGGCUGCCAUCAAUGGACCAAAUUGAUUUAGCCAGAGAAUGGCUGAAUUCGAAGUAUAAAAAGGUGAGAAUCGAGUCCGAAGCGAGGAUUCGUGACACGAUGUUCUUUCAAAUCGCGUCGGAUGGGUGGAAGUCGGGUGGGGAUAAUAAUCAUCAUUAUCAUGAUCAUGGUUCGGGUGGGUUCGAUAAUUUGGUGAAUUUAUCGGUGAAUUUGCCAAAUGGAUCCGGGGUUGGUGAUGAAGAUGAUGAUGGUUAACUGAGAAAUUUCUUACUGAUUUUCAAACAGUAAAAGGGUAUAACAAAAAUUGGCUUUGUAUCAAGGAGUUUGCCCCAUUUACAUGGAGUUUGUGAUGAUGCUGAAGAAACCUUUGCAAAUGCUCUAGUUGUGUUGAAGAAUCAAGGGAUGGUGAAGGAAGGUGGGCAUGUAGCUCUUCUUCAGAGUGGCAAACAACCCAUCUGGCGGUUCCAGUCUAGCCAUAAUAUUCAGGUCCAAAAGGUUGCGUAUUCGUAAGUACAAUAAUGUGCUCGUGGCAUACAGUGAUACAACACAAGUGCCUUCAACAACUACCGAUGUACAUCAAAUCGAGGUAUGUGUUUUAUUUUUUAUUUAGCCCUUUACUUUUGAUACUUCACCGCAGCCGGUUAGCCACUUAAGUCCUUUGAUCAUGCCAUCGACUUAGUUUUUUUUUACCCAUGUAUCUAUUAUCAAUGUUAGCUUUCAAUUUCAUCAUCUCAAUAUUUCCACUGACGUACAUAGACGACCAGAAGUACAUUUUAACAUUUAACUAUUUUUCCUUACUGUCGACUUGAUCAUUUAUGCAAGAAGUAACUUUUACAAUUUGAGUCCAAAUUUGACUAUCCAAUGCCGCCUCAUUUUAUCCUUUGCUCAGGAAUACAAUUUAGAUGACUUUAUCCUAAUUAUAAUAGUAAUAUUAGAUGACUUCCAUUGUAGAGGACUUUUUCGAUAUAUUGUCUUUGUUAUAGUGAUUUCUAAGAAAUUCUUUAACAUUCGAGGGUCCACAUUAUGAAAAUUCAAAUAACACAUAUUAACCUACUGUCUUUUGUCUUUAUUUUGAUUUACUGUCUAGUUCAGCAAUAUAUACACUUUUAGUUUAUGGAAUCUACACGGUUUUGUUUUUUCAGCUUUAAUAGCAAUUCAUAGAUUUAAUAACACAUUUUAACCCACUGUCUUUUGUCUUAAUUUCAUGAAAUUACUAUUUUAUUACAUCCAUUGUCGAUAGUAGUUAGCUAAAUGAUUAUAUAUAUGACUUUGUUCUUAACAAAAGUUUUGCGUCCAACGAUUUAACUAAAUACUUUUAUGACUUUUGUUUUAAGAGUGUAACUGAAUGAUUUUUACGAAUACUUUAACUAAAUAAUUAAUUUAGAGUGUUUACUUAUCCACUUGAUCCUGACCAGGUAAAUCAUUUUCUUAUAUUGCAAAAACAAAUGUACUGUCUAUUUGUAAAGGAAUGUUAUUUUUUGAAAUAGGAUUGUUCUAUUUCUAAAGGAAUACUAUUUGGCCAGCCUUGUGUUUUUGCAGGAGAUUCUGAAAAAUCACUAAUCGAGCCAUUAUUUUAUUUGUGGGUUUCCCUGAUUAUGCUAAAUCAGACUGGAGGUCGGUUCACCAUUUGGGAUUGAUGCAAUGAAUGAUGGAAUAAUUGGUCUGGACUAUCAUGCUCUGUAGCUUUGGCAAAAAACCGGAUGGGUCAGAACGGGUAAAUGCAUAAACAAGAACUGGCAAAAAACCGGAUGGGUCAGAACGGGUUAAUGCAUAAACAAGAACCAAAAGAUGAAUCUGUUAGAGUGCAACUUCUUCUGUUGAGAGCCACCGACAAAACUUAGAAGCUAUGAUGCGGAGUAUAAAAAAACUACUUGUUGAAGAUAGAGAUGAGUAGAUAGUUUUCUUUUCUCUUUAUUAUUGUAGUUGUCACUUUGUGUUGAAUAUAUUGUUAUUUGAUUUUGGACAAACAUGUACACCAUUUCACUAUUAAUGAUACCGAGUUUGGGCGUAACUA